GCCAAGGGCAAUGGGGAUAACUGACAAAGUGGUUUCUGGUGCUCCUGUCGUUAGAUGGACACCUGGUGCAACUCUCAUGACUGGGGGUUGGGAUAGAAAUGCUUUGUUUCUCUGGAAGGCAAGCCACCAACUCAGUCAAGGCUUCUCAUCUGGGAGAUUUGCAGCAGCUGGGAACCCAUAUGGCAAGGGGCAAAACGUGCCACAGUGUGCUUGCAGACUGAGAAGCAGAUAAGACUAAUUUACCUCGCUUCAGCCCUCUGGAAGAUUUUUCUUUGUGUUAUACCUUCUAAAAAUUCUUCCAGGGUGUUCUUGGCUGUCCUAGGGAGAAGAUUCUGUCUUCUCUGAGGAGCUGCUGUGCCAGCAGAAGGCAUCUGCUCACUGAAUACCUUUGGGCUGAAAUGGAGCAUCAGUAGGUUUGGACCAGAAACAGUUCAGCACAGACACCUGGUGCUUCACACAGGGAGAUAUUCAGAGAAUCUAAUGCUUGUGCAGGGUUUUCCCAGAGAACGAAGACACUCAAGCCUCAAUUCACAAAGGCAUUUAAGCAUCCAACUCCUGCUGAAAUCCCUGCAGGACAUGCUGUCCCUUUGGAGAGGCAGUGCUGUGGUGCAAUGGAUGGGUUUGUUGCCUCCUCUUCGUGGAGCAUCACGAAGGGCACCUCUGAGCACAGCAACCACAGACCCAAGAGGGGCUGGCAAGCAAGGCUGAAGAACCAGUGACAUCCCAGAGAAGAAAGACUGGAAACCUGUCAUGCCCUGCACAGAGACAAAACUUUCCAUUGCACAGAGAAGUUGGAACUGCUGGAGAGGCAGCAGGAAUGCAAAUGACUGGUGCAGGUGAACAAACAAGUAAAGAUGAAAGGAGCAGGGCUGAGUACCCUGGAGAGGUCUAGAGGUCCUAAACCAGCUCUUCAAGCUUUGCAGUCUGAUGUUCUGCUCAUGGCAAAGGCAAGUCAGAGGGUCCCGAUUGCUCCCAGACACCUUUAUUCUUGCAGUUCAAAGCACCUUCAUUUUCCCAACUUUACUGGGUCUUCCCCCACUGCUGUCAGUACAAGUGGUUUCCUGCCUAAUUCUUUCAACAACGUUGUGCUUUCAAUGCUGUGUGUGUGUGUGUAGGUGUGACCCAAGGACUGGUGUGCUCUCUGCUUCACGCCCCUUCUCUCGCUGUCCCGCCGUGCAGCCCGGCUCUUGGGGCACUCUCAUCUGAUCAGCUGCUACACACUUCUGAGCUUAACCCUGCAAUCUUACCUAGUGGGUGGCUCAGGCAUGGCUGACAGAAAUGGGAAGGAACAUAAUGUUGGGAUUGCUAAUUGUUGUAGGCAAUGUCCUGCUUUACCUUUGGGUGAGGAUCUGUGGGUACCUUUUGUUCCUGAUUUCUGUGGUGUGGUUUUUAGGGUCCAUGACCACGAUGGUUUUCACUCCCUGAAGAGUUGUUUUGGCUAUUUUUGCUAUUUUUAUCUGCUGGAAUACUUAUGAUCCAUUAUAUCCUUGGGUAUUAACCAAGGACCUCUCGACACUUGGAAAAGAUGCUGAAAAACAGUCUGAAAACCUGUGGGAAGCUGGAGGUUUUUCUCUCUAAAAUUCCAGAACCCAACGUCGAGCAGCAAGUGUGUGUUGCUGGGUGGUUCCAGUACCAGCACCUGCAGCUGUCACAGCUCAGGAACAUCAACAAAAGGCCACCUCAUGUGCCAGUGGGUCGUUUCCCUGGCCCUGGAUGGCACUGAGCACUGUCUUUACCACCUUUGUAACACCUUAGCCUGGUGUCUCACUGCCCUCUUGCUGCUCCAAUCCAGCCGGGGAUGGCUCUGCCUCAUUUAUCAUUUGUUCAUCAAGAACAGAUUUCUUUUUUAGCAAAAAAACCCUGAUUGUUUACUGCAGCAUUUCACAAUUUCCCUCAUAAUUAGCUGGCCUAGAAAUUAGGCUGUGCAUGUGUAGCAGGAAGCCAAAUGCAUCUGCCCCUGCUGUGAAUACAAGAGCCCACCCACACAGCAGAGAAGAGCCCCGACACACACUCUGAUGGGAAAUAAUCCAGAGUUAUCAAGAAGGAUACAUGGGGUGAAGUCUCCUGCAGAAGGAGAGGGUCUGUGGGUCCCUUUUUGCCACACAGGUGAGUGACAGUGGGUUCGGGGUUGUGUCCACACAUGGUGACUUCCCUGCAGCCCUGCUCCCAAAGCAGGCCUGAUCUGAGCUUACCAGCAGGUUCUUUUUUACCUUGGAGUUAAUUGUCAUGCAAAAUUCAUUAUGAAAAUGAGCCCCAUUGUUCUCUGUCCAGGCAGGGGGUGAUUGGUAAUACUUGGUAUUACUUGGUCAUAACUGGCCACUGACCUCCAGGGCCUUGACCCUCUCAGUCCCCAGUCUGUGUUUUGAUUCUGCAGCCCUUGGGCAGGAUGCAGCAAGCUGUGCCACAGGCACAGGUCACCUGCCUUCAGCCUCACCACAAGCCUCACCACCCCCUCAGGACAGGUGACCAGCUUCUGGGCAGGUAACCAGUGUCCCCCAGUAGUCUGGGGCUCUCUGAAAGUUUUUGUGAGGCUGGCAGCAAUGGCCAGGCCAGGCUGUGGGAUAAAGACACCACGGAGGUUCAUGUCAGUCUUUGCUCACACCGAGUUUUUUGCUCUCACAAAGUUACUGCCUCGUGUUCUUUCCAGAGCACCUUGCACCAUCAGGAGCCAGGUCCUUCAGCACAAUAUGGUAGAACUUCAAACACUGUGCUUAGCUCUCCAACAGCUUUCUCCCUGCUGUUUCUACCUGCUGCUCUCCCACACACAUAGAGAGCUCCUUCAGAUGCCUCCCAAGCACUCAAGUUUCCUCCCUCACUCCCAAGGGACACUCUAGAGCUGCAUGACUUCACUUCUGCUCAAGCACAGCAUGUGCCCAUGCUUUGGUGGCAGCUCCUCCAGCCUAGCUGGGCUCUUUCUGUGCAGAAACUCAGUUCCUUCGGGUGAAAACCCUGCUCUAUCUCCACGCUUAUCCCACUCAAGGCAGGAUCCAACCUUCCUGCUGCAGCAGAUGCCUCCUCCUGUGAGUCCUGCAGUGCCUCAGAGCUGCCUGAGGAAGCAUCAGGAAAGCACAUCUGUGCUCACCCAGUGUGGCACAAAAUAAUAAGGGGGGGGAAGGAUGCAGUCUGAAUAUUAUGCCUGAAUUUUCUAUUAUUACUAUAUCACUGUGUCAAAAUUGAAAACCAUGUAAGAUUUCUCAGGAGGGGCCAUCCGUAAUGCAUUGCAGAGAUGUGUGUAGGUAUUCAAACCAGUAUAUACAACACUAGUAUUAUUGAAAGAAAUUGAAGGCCCAGUCUUCUCUCCGUAAAAUAUUCAUUAUUCAUGUUAUAGUCCUUUAACAAAAACUAAAGCCAAAUACAUAUUCAAUUUCUAUAUAUAUAUUAUUUUAUUUUAUUUUAUUUUUUCCAUUCAGAAUUACCUGCUAUUCUUCUCUGGUGUCCAAUGGAGAUGAAAUGUCCUCUUGUUAUUCCUGUAUUAGCUUCUGACAGUUCAAUUUCUCCGAGUGCUGUGUUUGAGACAACCCUUAACAAAUAGCCACACAGGUAAUUGCACUGAUCCAAAUGUCUUGCCAAAUCUUUUAGAUCUGAUGUCGAUCACAGGCAGUAGGAUGUUGACAGCCCUGACUCAGCCCUGGCAGCUGCCUCUGUGAGGCUGUUGGUUUUGGUUUUUGAUUCUGAUAAAUAUUAUUGGGAAAGCUUUCGACAUCUGCACAAUUUCAUUCUCUCCUUCUGAAUAAGACCUUGCAAAGGUAUUGUGCCAGAUAUGCUCCACAACCUUGCUUCUCUCUUCAUUUUGCAUUCACAGAAGUUGUGAGGCUAGCUGGUGGUUUUAAACUGCUAUUUCUUUUCUUGGAAGAGAGAUCAUCUCCCCAGUUCAUAUAACUUACUAGCACCAUGAACACCUAAUGACUGCUGUUCAAAACACAUUCUAAGAUGACUUCAUCUCCCACCAGUUCCAGGCUAUCCUUUACAGCAUGCUUUUCCUGAUGAGAAUUAAGAGACUCAUUUAACAAGGUUCUCUCUUGGAAAUCUUGCUUUACUUUUUUUUGUGUGUGUUUUUUUGUGUUGUUUUUUUUUUUUUGCCUCUCAAGCAUAUUUCAGGCCAAAUAUUCUUCCCUAAUUAUUUCUGAGAAGAGCAGCAGUUUGAGGGGCUUGACAAGACCAGGAGUCUCCUGGGCAAAGCACCACGUAUCCAGGCAGCAGAACCUCUCUGCCUACCCCAGGUUUCAGUCUGAAGAUGACAAAGAAUCCAACAGGAGAGAAAACAAACUUCACCAUUUUAGAAAGGGGGAACUGAGGCCGGGAGAUAAGAGGGACCAUGGUUCUCCAAUCAUAAUUACAAGUCUAAACUCCCUAGUUGUUUUUUUAAAGGUGCCUAAAUUAUUUUCAGGAUCUAGGACUUCAGUGAGGCAGUUUUCCCAGGAAACCUGUAAGAGAGGUGCAGAGGGACACAGCUAAGCCUCAGUUUUAAUCACAGGCUCGUUAGCCCUGCUGCAGACUGCCAUCAUUUUGCUGUGUCCCCCACAGUGGGAUUUUAUGUUCCAGAAGAUUUUGCCUGUGAUGAGUUACUAUUGAUUUUUCCAGGCUGCCAUUAAUCUUUCACACACCUUAAAAAUAAAAUUUAAAAAAACCCAACCAAAAAAAAACCCCAAAAAAACCCCACCCAACCCUGGAUUAUAAUCAUGUGCUUGUACCUUUGUACCACUGAAAUCUGAGCUGAAAAUUCUCUGUCUCCUACCCCACCCUUCUAUCUCACCUUCCCCUUAGCCCAUUUCCAUUUCCAUCCAUCACAUAAAUGCAACGAGCCCCCUGGCAGCAAGAGUUUAGCAACAGGGUCUCCAAACAGACAGAAGGACAAGAAGAGGCACAUUCCAGAGCUGCCACAGCUCCUGGGACCCCAUCCCUGGGUUUUCCAUGGCAGUGGUGAGCCACUGUGCCAAAUGGAAAAUGCCUUUAGCUCUAAUGGUAAAUGAUAGGGAGCUGGAUAAGAGGAAGAGAAAGCACUUUUCCACUGGGAGCUGUACUUACCCAGAUGUAGCACUUACUCGUGGUCUCUGGAGAGAGCAGCUAAUGCACAUCACAGAGCACGAAGGAGGAAGCCCCCUCUUUGCUUUCAGAAAGACAGUUCCUUUGCAUCUGCAGUUUCUUGCUGAAAAGUGCUCACAAAUAUAAAGCCAGGAGCUAGUUUGUCUUUCCUCCCUCUGCCAAUCUUAAUGGGAGUAACAGAAAUGUCUGCCUCGAAUGGCAAUAUUAAAUUUACUGUUAACUAUCAAUAUUAAACUUGUACAUAAAGAUCAGUGCUGCUGGGCAAUGCUUUAGCAGAACAUAGCCUGGGUGCCAUGGACUGAGACCCAAGUGUCCAAACACAUUUACCCAUCAAAAUAGUGCCUGUACAACAACAGCUGUGGUCUUCUUUCCCCAAGAAUGAUUUAAAGACUUCUCUAGUCCCCUCUGUAUUGUCCCCAGCCCUGGGAAGCAGUGAUGCCACACAAAGGUGACUUGUCCCAGCUGUUCUUUCAGUUUGGUGUGAACCUGCUCUGGGACAGCUUGAGAGCAGAUAGUGGCCCUUUGGUGUGAGAAAUUGAGUUUGUCAUAGGAGGAAAGUCAGCUACUGGUCCAUUAGCAGCUUCCAAGACUCCAGAGACCUAAAGAAGAUUCUGCAUCAACAAUUCCUGAACACCACAGGGAGUGGGACAACAGCUCUCCCACCUGUCCCUGGAGAGAAGGACUAAACAAGCAGCAGCAGAGAAGCCAAACUCCGUGGCUCAUUUUAGGUUUCAUUGCCAGAGGUGGCUCUAAUUAAAGUUGCACUGCAGCAACUCGUAGUGGGAUUGCUAAGGAGCAGCCUGAUAUGGAAAAGUCCACUGAUCUGAUCCCACAACCCCAGCUGCAAACAUCUUAACUGCAACAUGCAUCUUCUGCUGACCCACAAUAGCUUAACUAAUUAGCAAACACAUUUACUAUGUGAACUAGUUGCAAAAUUAAGCCCAUCUCACCAGGAGACGUUUUGCUGUCUCUGCAAAGCUAUUUCUAGAUAAAAGUGUAGGAUCAGGAGCAAUUUUCCCUUGAAACUGGGCAAUAUAAACAACAGCAUGAGGGUGCAGCAGUGUGUCAGCAUCCCAGGAAGCCUGAGACAGGAGUCCCUACCUACCUUAUGAGUCAAGACUGCCCUUGUACUGGAUCUUCCCCACCGUUUGGCCUUCAAGCAUCUUAAACCACAUGUAAGUGUCACCAAAAAUUGCCUAGCACAAGGGAAAUACAAGCAGUUGCCUGUUUUUGUCUCAGCUGUAUGUGACCUUCUAAAGCCCAAGCCACUAGCAAAGUACAAUGAGAGCACAGCUGGCCCUGGAGAAAGCUACACACAUCUGCACAGGCAGUGGGAGCAGACACCUGACAAGCAAGAGCUGCAUGGAGCAGCCCAUGGCAAUUUGCUGAGCUCUAAGACAGCAGAAGAGAGUAAUGAAAUUAUUAUGGUUCCCAGUUGCUGUCAAGUUCUAGUGUCUCUUGAGUGCUGCUGGGCAUUAUCAGACAUGUCAAGGUACAACUGCUAUUCCUGCAGAGAGAAAAAAAAAAACCACUUUUUUUGAACAAAACCAAAUUCUUUAUCUGAAUAUAGUGUGUUCUAUUAAUGUUUUUCAGCUCCUGCAAAGCAGGAGGAUACACACAGCCAGGUGGAGGUUUUGUUCAUUUAUUACUUUUUUUUUUUUUUUCCAGAAAGACUGUGUAGGCUUUGGGUCAAGUAACACUUGGGAAAGUCUGUUCAGAGCUACAGUAAGGGCUCAUUUGUACAAAGGCAAAUGUAUCUUCUAAAUCUGUCUGUCUGGAAGGAAGCAAAGCUUUAAAAAAUAAUUAAGAUUUCCCACAAGUGCCUCAUUCACAAUAGAGUUUCAUGAUAUAGUUACGCUAAGAGGAAAUGAAUGUCCCUCAUUUGAGGUUAUUAUCACAAAUGAAUUAAAUGAGCAGAUACCUUUUAAAGACUGGCUUUAAAAUCUGGAUUCAGCUCAGAAAUGGAGUCGUUCCAAAAUGCUCCAUUAGUGCAAUGGCACAUGACCAAGCUGUGCAGUACCCAGGUUCUGGUGCCCGGGUCAAGAUGACCCCACUACGUAUCUGAUGAGUAUGUCCUGCACACCUAAUUACCAUUGGCUUUUGGCUGGAUGAAACCAGUGACUUUAUGGGAAAAUAAAACAAAUGAAAAGAUGUUGGCUUUUAGAUUCGUCUGAAAUAACAUACCUGGAAUAGUCCCAACAGCUCCUAUCCUGACCCUACUGAAAUCAACAGAAGAUAAACACUAGGCAGAUGUACUGGCCUGGGUGUGCAGGACCAGAUCCAUUGCUCUCUGGCUUGAAUUCUUCACCAACAAUCUGUUCUGAAAAGCAAGUGGGUCAAUAGUGUAUUGAAUGAAGCUAUGCCUGAUUAUCUUGGCUGAAGAUGUUUACUGAAUCACACAACUGGAGCAGUGUUGGUAGUCGAGCUGGUAAGAAUUACUCCAUAUUUAAUCAGAAUUUUUGCUUUUUCUCCUGGGAUCCCCAGUCUCCAUUGUUAGGGGACUCUACUUAAUCUCAAGCCUGCCUCCUCUCAGCAAGCCAAAACCCUAUCCAGGGAAAGGUAAGGAUUGCUCUCCAAUAUAAACCAACCCUAUUACUUAUGUGGAGACUCCAAAGGAGUAUUCAAGGACCCACAAGAGACACUCAGAUAUUCUCUCAGGGUGGCGUUGAGUGGAUGGGAGCACAGAUGUACAAAUUAGCAAUCUUUGACUCUAUGAACAGUCCAGGUUGUAACUGAAAUGACUCUUUAAGCUCUUAAACUCAUCUUUUGUGUCUUCUGUUCUGUCUUCUCUCCAGAGUCACUGCAGAGCCAGUGCUGAAUUCAGUCCCAGAGACCUGCAGGUUGGCUUCUAGAGAGAAGAGCUUCUCCUCUGGGCAGAGCCCUCUGCCCAGCCCGAGGGCUGCAGGCUGGCCUGGCCAUUGCUGCCACGCAGAGCAGGGACUCUCUUUUCCCCUUCAGAUGAAUGAGUAAAUAACAGUCAGGCACAGGAAUGGGAGCCUUUAGUGAUAGGAAUGCUGCUGCUUUCCAGAAGUACACCUCCUGAUCUCCUCAAGAGGAGCAUGUGCUGUGCACAUGGUUAGUGCAACAGCCAGGCCAUAUUCCCCCCAGCUCUCAUUCCCAUCUCAUCCCCCCAGCCCAACUCUACCUUGCCAUGGCACAGCUGGGUCCCCUCUUUGCUGAAAGACCCUAGUCAGAAGCCAGGCUCUUCUAAUUUCUCUCCUUGUGCUGCACACUAGAACCUGCUCCAAGUAGCAAGGCAUUGGCAGUGAGCAAGGUGGAUAAAGCUGGAACUUGAUUUGUUCAGAACAUUCAAGUUUGUAACAGUAGCAGGUUGGUUUGCAAUAAAUUCUUUCAGCUUAAAAACUAAUGCCAAAGCAUAGAUGCUUUCUCAUGCACUUCUCCUAUGUGUUCAACCCAUCAACAUAAGGAUUUAUAACCUUCUUUACCACACCCAUUCUCCUUGCAGUAACUUCUCAUUAAAGUGGGCUUUUGUCUUCAUACCUGAAUAUUUUUUUCCAUAACAUUUGCUGGGUGUCCUAUGAUUUCCUGAAAAAAAAAAAACAAGACAGAAAGUCUGAAUCUUGUCACUAAUCCUGCCAAGCGAGCUCAGUCUUUCAGCCACGUUCUUUGAUACUACCAUUAACUGCAGAAAAAGGAUGCUAAUUCCUUAGCUGUGUCUGCUCAACACACAAAGGCCAAGUAAAUAACUAAAAUACAGGUUGACGUGGAAACCAGUUUAUUAGCUCCCCAGUAAGUACACCUGGAAAUAAAUGUGUCUCUUGUGUUUUCUCAAUGUUAGAAACAAGAUGACGCAGAGAAGAGCGCGCGGCCUUCGGCCCCGGGAGGCUUGGCUGUUGCACAGUCAUAAAAUAAAUACCUGGUGCUUUCCACUUCAAGUAUCAGCUGUGCUGAAAGGUACAUAAGGGCCUACAAUCAGUUGUUUAAUCAGCUUUAGAUAAUAAAAUAAAAAAAAAACAAACCCACAGACAUUCAGCCAGCCUACUUGUGCGUAACGGAUACGCUUGAUUUGCCAGGAUUAUGGGCAGUAAUCGCAUUAUCAUUUCCAUCAGAUUUUUCUCUUCUAUACUUUUUAUAAUUCGAGUGAUUCAUCUAGUGGAUGAAUAUACAGACACAGACAAAUACUUCAAAAUGGUAUUUUGGAGUUGUUUGUGCUUAAUUUGUCACAUAACAAGUUCAUCUCACCUCAUUUGCCAAGAGCUGAAGUUGUUAUGACAAACACGAAGACGGAAAGAACGUCGUGGCCGUGGAGGAGCUGAGGGAAGGAGAACCAAGGGGUGGGAAGAGGAGGGUAAGAAACAGCAGUACCUGCUGAAGGGAGGGUGCAGUGUGAGAGGAAGACUCAUGCUGAAAGAGAGGGAUUAGUCCUUUCACAGAUGAUACCUGCAGAUUGAGAAGGAUCUGGCAUUGACGAAGUGAUGAGGGCAACCAAGCGCCCGGCUCAGGAGUCCAGCUGGUCUGGGGAGCACAAAGGUGCCUCAGCUGUCAAGACUUGAGGGUCACAUCGUAUGUCACUGGAAAGAUCACCUCCCCAGACUGACAACAAAACCCAUGCUCUUAUUCAGGACCCUUAAAUUUGAAGCCAGUGAUGAACCCUUGCACCUCAGGGAGGAAUGAAGAUCAACAACUGGAAACAAACAGUUGCAACACUUUCAUUAUCUUUUGUGGGAAAAAUUCCUAAAGGAUUAUUAAUUUCUGAUGAUACUUGCAAUCAGCAGAACUCAUUCAUUUUUUAAGUUUCACUUAUUUGCAGUGAAUGGAGCUGCUUCUCAGCUGGGUAGCUGCAUUCAUUUUGCAAUAAUGGUGUUUGUUUGACAUCUGAGAAAUUAACAAUGCAAAUGCCUCCGUGUCUUGGUAGCACAUUUAAAAUAAAAUAUCUUCUUGUACAGAAUUGAUGACACGACUGUAAAAAGGGCUUCCUAAGAGUUGAAACAUUUUUCAAAACCCAUUAUAACACUAGGCAUUUGGAUGUGGUGGGGAGCUCAGCUCUAUCCACACUUGUCCAAAAAAUAAGAAUAAUAAAAAUAUUUGGGAAUCACUGUA